rnacentral:misc_RNA from 1 species
GAUGAAGAACGUAGCGAAAUGCGAUACGUAAUGUGAAUUGCAGAAUUCAGUGAAUCAUCGAGUCUUUGAACGCACAUUGCGCCCUCUGGUAUUCCGGAGGGCAUGCCUGUCCGAGCGUCAUUGCUGCCCUCAAGCACGGCUUGUGUGUUGGGCUCCGUCCCACGAUCCCGGGGGACGGGCCCGAAAGGCAGCGGCGGCACCGCGUCCGGUCCUCGAGCGUAUGGGGCUUUGUCACCCGCUCUGUAGGCCCGGCCGGCGCUUGCCGAUCAACCAAAUUUUUAUCCAGGUUGACCUCGGAUCAGGUAGGGAUACCCGCUGAACUUAAGCAUAUCAAUAAGCGGAGGA